AUGGAAGGAGCGCCAUCGGGAUCGGGCACCAAAAAAACCGAUCUGGAGGCGAUGAUGGAGGAGUUGGGGCUGAAGGAAGAUGAUCUCCUGGACGUGGUCGUGGAAGAUGAGGAAAUCCCUGAGGAGGCGACCAGAUGGAUGGCGAUUGCCAGAGUUCACACGGAGAAAACCUACAACCAGUACUGUUUUUUUAGGAACAUGAGAUCUGCUUGGGACCUGGCAAAGGAAGUGAAGAUCGGGCCAUUAGAGGGAAACAUAUAUACCUUGCAGUUCGGCUGCUUGGGCGACUGGGAA
rnacentral:rRNA from 1 species